rnacentral:sRNA from 12 species
UUCAGAGAAUGCCGAUGUCAUAUCUACGACAGUAGAUAUGAGAAUGCGCUUGUAGA